rnacentral:rRNA from 1 species
GACGAACGCUGGCGGCGCGCUUAACACAUGCAAGUCGAGCGAGAACCGGGGCUUCGGCCCCGGGGACAGCGGCGAACGGGUGAGUAACACGUGGAUAACCUGCCCUCGGCACCGGGAUAGCCCGAGGAAACUCGGAUUAAUACCGGAUGGCCCUUCCGGCCCUCGGGCCGGUCGGAAAAGGUAGCUUCGGCCUCCGGCCGAGGAUGGGUCCGCGGCGGAUUAGCUCGUUGGGGGGGUAACGGCUCACCAAGGCCACGAUCCGUAGCUGGUCUGAGAGGACGAUCAGCCACACUGGGACUGAGACACGGCCCAGACUCCUACGGGAGGCAGCAGUGGGGAAUCUUGCGCAAUGGGCGAAAGCCUGACGCAGCGACGCCGCGUGAGGGAAGAAGGCCUUCGGGUUGUAAACCUCUUUCAGGAGGGACGAAGCUACUCGGGUGAACAGCCCAGAAGGUGACGGUACCUCCAGAAGAAGCCCCGGCUAACUACGUGCCAGCCGCCGCAGUAAAAC